rnacentral:rRNA from 1 species
AUUGAACGCUGGCGGCAGGCCUAACACAUGCAAGUCGAGCGCGCGGCGGACGCGUGAGUACUGUAUGGGGACUGCCCGAUAGAGGGGGAUAACUCCUGGAAACGGUAGCUAAUACCUCGUACUAUCGUAUCACCCAUAUGUGAUUAGCUAGUAGGUGAGGUAAUGGCUCACCUAGGCGACGAUCCCUAGCUGGUCUGAGAGGCUGAUCAGCCACACUGGGAGGGAGACAGGGUCCAGACUCCUACGGAGGCAGCAGUGGGGAAUAUUGCAAAAUGGGCGCAAGCCUGAUGCAGCCAUGCCGCGUGUAUGAAGAAGGCCCUAGGGUUGUAAAGUACUUUCAGUCGGGAGGCGUUACCGACAGAAGAAGCACCGGCUAACUCCGUGCCAGCAGCCGCGGUAAUAC